rnacentral:rRNA from 1 species
GACGAACGCUGGCGGCGUGCUUAACACAUGCAAGUCGAACGGAAAGGCCCUGCUUUUGUGGGGUGCUCGAGUGGCGAACGGGUGAGUAACACGUGAGUAACCUGCCCUUGACUUUGGGAUAACUUCAGGAAACUGGGGCUAAUACCGGAUAGGAGCUCCUGCUGCAUGGUGGGGGUUGGAAAGUUUCGGCGGUUGGGGAUGGACUCGCGGCUUAUCAGCUUGUUGGUGGGGUAGUGGCUUACCAAGGCUUUGACGGGUAGCCGGCCUGAGAGGGUGACCGGCCACAUUGGGACUGAGAUACGGCCCAGACUCCUACGGGAGGCAGCAGUGGGGAAUAUUGCACAAUGGGCGGAAGCCUGAUGCAGCAACGCCGCGUGCGGGAUGACGGCCUUCGGGUUGUAAACCGCUUUCGCCUGUGACGAAGCGUGAGUGACGGUAAUGGGUAAAGAAGCACCGGCUAACUACGUGCCAGCAGCCGCGGUGAUACGUAGGGUGCGAGCGUUGUCCGGAUUUAUUGGGCGUAAAGGGCUCGUAGGUGGUUGAUCGCGUCGGAAGUGUAAUCUUGGGGCUUAACCCUGAGCGUGCUUUCGAUACGGGUUGACUUGAGGAAGGCAGGGGAGAAUGGAAUUCCUGGUGGAGCGGUGGAAUGCGCAGAUAUCAGGAGGAACACCAGUGGCGAAGGCGGUUCUCUGGGCCUUUCCUGACGCUGAGGAGCGAAAGCGUGGGGAGCGAACAGGCUUAGAUACCCUGGUAGUCCACGCUGUAAACGGUGGGUACUAGGCGUGGGGUCCAUUCCACGGGUUCCGUGCCGUAGCUAACGCUUUAAGUACCCCGCCUGGGGAGUACGGCCGCAAGGCUAAAACUCAAAGGAAUUGACGGGGCCCCGCACAAGCGGCGGAGCAUGCGGAUUAAUUCGAUGCAACGCGUAGAACCUUACCUGGGUUUGACAUGGAUCGGGAGUGCUCAGAGAUGGGUGUGCCUCUUUUGGGGUCGGUUCACAGGUGGUGCAUGGCUGUCGUCAGCUCGUGUCGUGAGAUGUUGGGUUAAGUCCCGCAACGAGCGCAACCCUUGUUCACUGUUGCCAGCACGUUAUGGUGGGGACUCAGUGGAGACCGCCGGGGUCAACUCGGAGGAAGGUGGGGAUGACGUCAAGUCAUCAUGCCCCUUAUGUCCAGGGCUUCACGCAUGCUACAAUGGCUGGUACAGAGAGUGGCGAGCCUGUGAGGGUGAGCGAAUCUCGGAAAGCCGGUCUCAGUUCGGAUUGGGGUCUGCAACUCGACCUCAUGAAGUCGGAGUCGCUAGUAAUCGCAGAUCAGCAACGCUGCGGUGAAUACGUUCCCGGGGCU